rnacentral:rRNA from 1 species
AUUGAACGCUGGCGGCAUGCCUUACACAUGCAAGUCGAACGGCAGCACGGACUUCGGUCUGGUGGCGAGUGGCGAACGGGUGAGUAAUGUAUCGGAACGUACCUUUCAGUGGGGGAUAACGUAGCGAAAGUUACGCUAAUACCGCAUAUUCUGUGAGCAGGAAAGCAGGGGAUCGAAAGACCUUGCGCUGAUUGAGCGGCCGAUAUCAGAUUAGCUAGUUGGUGGGGUAAAGGCCUACCAAGGCGACGAUCUGUAGCGGGUCUGAGAGGAUGAUCCGCCACACUGGAACUGAGACACGGUCCAGACUCCUACGGGAGGAAGCAGUGGGGAAUUUUGGACAAUGGGGGCAACCCUGAUCCAGCCAUGCCGCGUGAGUGAAGAAGGCCUUCGGGUUGUAAAGCUCUUUCGGCCGGGAAGAAAUCGCAUAGGCUAAUACCCUGUGUGGAUGACGGUACCGGAAUAAGAAGCACCGGCUAACUACGUG